UACGUAGGGGGCAGGCGUUGUCCGGAUUCAUUGGGCGUAAAGGGCUCGUAGGCGGCCAACUAAGUCGGAUGUGAAAUCCCCAGGCUCAACUUGAGAACUGCAUCCGAUACUGGAUGGCUUGAAUUCGGGAGAGGGAUGCAGAACUCCAGGUGUAGCGGUGAAAUGCGUAGAUAUCUGGAGGAAUACCGGUGGCGAAGGCGGCAUCCUGGACCGACAUUGACGCUGAGGAGCGAAAGCUAGGGGAGCAAACGGG
rnacentral:rRNA from 1 species